rnacentral:lncRNA from 1 species
AAAAAUAUACAAAAACUUGAGACAGCAAAAUUUCUACUGUUUCAUUGAUAUCUUUACUAAUUUAUGAAAUUUUCCCGUUCUUAAAUACCUUAUAGUUUAUUUGAGAUUGAGAUGAAUUGAUUUGAGCUCUAAAAGUUGCUACGAAGUUGGAUUUUGGGUUGUUGAAGGGUAUAUAUUGUUUCAUCAAAUUCUCUUUUGGAAUUUUGAAGUUCUCGAUUUCUGGAACAAAUUUUGGCUCAUCCAAGGCUUGAUGAGUUGAUUUUUAGUUUUUUAAAGGCUUGGUCUGUUGUGCGCUGCUUAGUUCACUCUUCUAUUGGUAUUUCUGAGUCGAUUUCAUAUUUGAUUCUUGAAUCGGGUCACUUUGCUGUUGCUGCACGACUGAGUCCUCAUCCUUCUGUUUCAUUUUACUGCCAGGCACACAUCUCUGACAUUCAAAAAAUGUGAAUCUGCAAAGUUGGAAGUUGAAUAUGAAUGAAUACGUUGGUGUUUUACAAUUAGUUUUUAGUCUGCUUCAUCUUCUUUCUGAUUCAUGCUGCUCUUCGAAAGCAAUUUGUGUUUACCUUAGGAUUUGGCCAUGUUUUAGUUGAAUAGUAAUUGUAUUUACCGGUUUAUUUUAUUUUCUUUUCUUUAUCUUGUUCUUGCUUUCUUUUCUUUAAGGAUUGAAUCUAGAUGUUGUUAAUAUGACUGAUUCAAAGCUAUUUUGAAUCGUUAGUCAUGUGUUAGGUAAGGAUUUAUCAGUUGGUUGUAGUAUAUCUUUGGAUCUAGUGUGCAGAAUGGGUAAUUGUUUGUUUGAGAGGGGAUGUGAGUCAUUGGUUUCAGGGGUUG